rnacentral:rRNA from 1 species
GGGGGAUACCCAUUGGAAAAGGAAUGGUUAAUCCGCCUUAAGGCGCCCAGGGAUGCCAUGUUCUGUUUUGAAAACUUCCGGGUGUAUUAAGAAUGGACCGCGUUCUGAUUAGGUAGUUUGUGGGGUAACGGCCUACCAAGGCAACGAUCAGUAGCCGACCUGAGAGGGUGACCGGCCACAUUGNGACUGAGACACGGCCCAAACUCCUACGGGAGGCAGCAGUGGGGAAUAUUGCACAAUGGGCGAAAGCCUGAUGCAGCGACGCCGUGUGAGCGAAGAAGUAUUUCGGUAUGUAAAGCUCUAUCAGCAGGGAAGAAUGAAUGACGGUACCUGACUAAGAAGCACCGGCUAAAUACGUGCCAGCAGCCGCGGUAAUACGUAUGGUGCAAGCGUUAUCCGGAUUUACUGGGUGUAAAGGGAGCGCAGGCGGUUCGGCAAGUCUGAUGUGAAAGCCCGGGGCUCAACCCCGGUACUGCAUUGGAAACUGUCGAACUAGAGUGUCGGAGGGGUAAGUGGAAUUCCUAGUGUAGCGGUGAAAUGCGUAGAUAUUAGGAGGAACACCAGUGGCGAAGGCGACUUACUGGACGAUAACUGACGCUGAGGCUCGAAAGCGUGGGGAGCAAACAGGAUUAGAUACCCUGGUAGUCCACGCUGUAAACGAUGAAUACUAGCUGUUGGGGAGCACUGCUCUUCAGUGGCGCAGCAAACGCAAUAAGUAUCCCACC